rnacentral:rRNA from 1 species
UACAGGGGGUGCAAACGUUGCUCGGAAUCAUUGGGCGUAAAGCGCACGUAGGCGGUUCGUUAUGUCGGAUGUGAAAGCCCUUGGCUUAACCGAGGAAGUGCAUCCGAAACUGGCGAGCUAGAGUACGAAAGAGGAUCGCGGAAUUCCCGGUGUAGAGGUGAAAUGCGUAGAUAUCGGGAGGAACACCGGUGGCGAAGGCGGUUCUCUGGGCCUGUACUGACGCUGAGGAGCGAAAGCGUGGGGAGCGAACAGG